rnacentral:misc_RNA from 1 species
GGAAGUAAAAGUCGGUAACAAGGUUUCCGUAGGUGAACCUGCGGAAGGAUCAUUACAAAAUGUUAUGGGAUGUCCUAACGGGCACCCAAGCAAACACAUCCAUAUUAAACUUUUGAAACAAUCACUAGUCUGAUAAGGCCAUAUGCUGUAAAAAUUUAAAUAUAUUAAAACUUUCAACAACGGAUCUCUUGGCUCUC